rnacentral:rRNA from 1 species
GUCCACGCCGUAAACGAUGAGUGCUAAGUGUUAGGGGGUUUCCGCCCCUUAGUGCUGCAGCUAACGCAUUAAGCACUCCGCCUGGGGAGUACGGUCGCAAGACUGAAACUCAAAGGAAUUGACGGGGGCCCGCACAAGCGGUGGAGCAUGUGGUUUAAUUCGAAGCAACGCGAAGAACCUUACCAGGUCUUGACAUCCCAUUGACCACUGUAGAGAUACAGUUUUCCCUUCGGGGACAACGGUGACAGGUGGUGCAUGGUUGUCGU